ACUGGGUGCGGUGGCACGCACCUGUAAUCCCAGUGGCUCAGGAGGUUGAGGCAGGAGGAUCACAAGUUCAAAGCCAGCCUCAGCAAAAGCAAGGUGCUAAGCAACUCAGUGAGACCCUGUCUCUA
rnacentral:sRNA from 1 species